rfam:Pseudomonas syringae pv. japonica str. M301072 contig6.49, whole genome shotgun sequence.
UUUACCAUGCCGCGCGUCGGUUUCCGAGAGGAACUAACAGGGAAUUCGCCCGCCUUUUUCCACCAGGCGAAAAACGAAACUGCCCCCGCAACUGUAGGCACCGAGCCUGCUCCAUGACUGCCACUGGAUCGUGAUCCGGGAAGGCCGGAGCCUGGCGAUGACGUGUCAGUCAGGAGACCUGCCGACCCGAUUCAACCAAC